AGAGUUUGAUCCUGGCUCAGGAUGAACGCUAGCGGCAGGCCUAAUACAUGCAAGUCGAGCGGCAGCACUGGAGCAAUCCUGGUGGCGAGCGGCGCACGGGUGCGUAACACGUAUGCAACCUACCCUUUACAGGGGGAUAUCUCCCGGAAACGGGAAGUAAUCCCGCAUAAGUUCAGUUUAUGGCAUCGUAGAUUGAAGAAAGGAUUAAUUCGGUAAAGGAUGGGCAUGCGAUUGAUUAGCUAGUUGGCGAGGUAACGGCUCACCAAGGCAACGAUCAAUAGCUGGUCUGAGAGGAUGAUCAGCCACACUGGCACUGAGACACGGGCCAGACUCCUACGGGAGGCAGCAGUAGGGAAUAUUGGACAAUGGGCGCAAGCCUGAUCCAGCCAUGCCGCGUGCAGGAAGAAGGCCCUCUGGGUUGUAAACUGCUUUUCUCUGGGGAUAAACCCUUUCUAUAUGGGAGGCUGAAGGUGCCAGAGAAUAG
rnacentral:rRNA from 1 species